rnacentral:piRNA from 1 species
UUAAGGCAACUGUUUGGGUGGGCAGCAA